UGAGGAAUUUUGCGCAAUGGCCGCAAGGCUGACGCAGCAACGCCGCGUGGGUGAUGAAGGCCUUCGGGUCGUAAAGCCCUGUCAGGUGGGAAGAAAGGCCUGGAGAGGGAAGGUUUCAGGUUUGACGGUACCACCAGAGGAAGCACCGGCUAACUCCGUGCCAGCAGCCGCGGUAAUACGGAGGGUGCGAGCGUUAUUCGGAAUUACUGGGCGUAAAGCGCGUGUAGGCGGGGGGACAAGUCUGAUGUGAAAGCCCUGGGCUUAGCCUGGGAAGUGCAUUGGAAACUGUUUUUCUUGAGUACUGGAGAGGAAGGGGGAAUUCCCGGUGUAGAGGUGAAAUUCGUAGAGAUCGGGAGGAAUACCAGUGGCGUAGGCGCCCUUCUGGACGGUAACUGACGCUGAGACCCGAAAGCGUGGGGAGCAAACAG
rnacentral:rRNA from 1 species